UACGUAGGGAGCAAGCGUUGUCCGGAAUCAUUGGGCGUAAAGCGCGCGUAGGCGGCCUCGUAAGUCCGUUGUGAAAGUCAAAGGCUCAACCUUUGAAAGCCGAUGGAUACUGUGAGGCUAGAGUCCGGAAGAGGCGAGUGGAAUUCCUGGUGUAGCGGUGGAAUGCGCAGAUAUCAGGAGGAACACCAAUAGCGAAGGCAGCUCGCUGGGACGGUACUGACGCUAAGGCGCGAAAGCUAGGGGAGCAAACAGG
rnacentral:rRNA from 1 species